rnacentral:rRNA from 1 species
CCUACGGGUGACAGCAGUGAGGAAUAUUGGUCAAUGGACGCAAGUCUGAACCAGCCAUGCCGCGUGCAGGAAGACGGCUCUAUGAGUUGUAAACUGCUUUUGUACGAGGGUAAACGCAGAUACGCGUAUCUGUCUGAAAGUAUCGUACGAAUAAGGAUCGGCUAACUCCGUGCCAGCAGCCGCGGUAAUACGGAGGAUUCAAGCGUUAUCCGGAUUUAUUGGGUUUAAAGGGUGCGUAGGCGGUCGGAUAAGUUAGAGGUGAAAUCCCGAGGCUCAACUUCGGAAUUGCCUCUGAUACUGUUCGGCUAGAGAGUAGGUGCGGUAGGCGGAAUGUAUGGUGUAGCGGUGAAAUGCUUAGAGAUCAUACAGAACACCGAUUGCGAAGGCAGCUUACCAAGCUACUUCUGACGUUGAGGCACGAAAGCGUGGGGAGCGAACAGGAUUAGAUACCCCAGUAGUC